CAAUAGCAUAUAUUAAAGUUGUUGCAGUUAAAAGCUCGUAGUUGGAUUUUAAAGAAUUUACGUUUUGCUCCAUUUAGUUUUUACUUUAUGUGUUUUGUGAAACGUGUUCUUUAAAAUUUUGUCAGAUAUUCAUAGUUGCACUUAAUUGGGUGAUUAUUAUGAUUCCUUUACGGGGGUUAUGUGCUUGUUGGACCUAUUUGGUAGAGAUUGUGGAUUGAUUUCAUUCGUGGAUUCGGUUCUGCUUUAUUAAAUAACCGACAAGUAGAAUUCUGAUUCGUUUACUUUGAGUAAAUUAGAGUGUUCAAAGCAAGCUAAUUAUUUAAUUAGCAAUGAAUACUAUUAGCAUGGGAUAAUGGAACAAGACAUU
rnacentral:rRNA from 1 species